AUGAACGCUAGCUACAGGCUUAACACAUGCAAGUCGAGGGGCAGCAUUUUAGUUUGCUUGCAAACUAAAGAUGGCGACCGGCGCACGGGUGAGUAACACGUAUCCAACCUGCCGAUAACUCGGGGAUAGCCUUUCGAAAGAAAGAUUAAUAUCCGAUGGUAUAUUAAAACCGCAUGGUUUUACUAUUAAAGAAUUUCGGUUAUCGAUGGGGAUGCGUUCCAUUAGUUUGUUGGCGGGGUAACGGCCCACCAAGACAACGAUGGAUAGGGGUUCUGAGAGGAAGGUCCCCCACAUUGGAACUGAGACACGGUCCAAACUCCUACGGGAGGCAGCAGUGAGGAAUAUUGGUCAAUGGGCGAGAGCCUGAACCAGCCAAGUAGCGUGAAGGAUGAAGGCUCUAUGGGUCGUAAACUUCUUUUAUAUGGGAAUAAAGUAUUCCACGUGUGGAAUUUUGUAUGUACCAUAUGAAUAAGGAUCGGCUAACUCCGUGCCAGCAGCCGCGGUAAUACGGAGGAUCCGAGCGUUAUCCGGAUUUAUUGGGUUUAAAGGGAGCGUAGGUGGAUUGUUAAGUCAGUUGUGAAAGUUUGCGGCUCAACCGUAAAAUUGCAGUUGAAACUGGCAGUCUUGAGUACAGUAGAGGUGGGCGGAAUUCGUGGUGUAGCGGUGAAAUGCUUAGAUAUCACGAAGAACUCCGAUUGCGAAGGCAGCUCACUAGACUGUCACUGACACUGAUGCUCGAAAGUGUGGGUAUCAAACAGGAUUAGAUACCCUGGUAGUCCACACAGUAAACGAUGAAUACUCGCUGUUUGCGAUAUACAGUAAGCGGCCAAGCGAAAGCAUUGAGUAUUCCACCUGGGGAGUACGCCGGCAACGGUGAAACUCAAAGGAAUUGACGGGGGCCCGCACAAGCGGAGGAACAUGUGGUUUAAUUCGAUGAUACGCGAGGAACCUUACCCGGGCUUAAAUUGCAACAGAAUAUAUUGGAAACAGUAUAGCCGUAAGGCUGUUGUGAAGGUGCUGCAUGGUUGUCGUCAGCUCGUGCCGUGAGGUGUCGGCUUAAGUGCCAUAACGAGCGCAACCCUUAUCUUUAGUUACUAACAGGUCAUGCUGAGGACUCUAGAGAGACUGCCGUCGUAAGAUGUGAGGAAGGUGGGGAUGACGUCAAAUCAGCACGGCCCUUACGUCCGGGGCUACACACGUGUUACAAUGGGGGGUACAGAAGGCGGCUACCUGGUGACAGGAUGCUAAUCCCAAAAACCUCUCUCAGUUCGGAUCGAAGUCUGCAACCCGACUUCGUGAAGCUGGAUUCGCUAGUAAUCGCGCAUCAGCCAUGGCGCGGUGAAUACGUUCCCGGGCCUUGUACACACCGCCCGUCAAGCCAUGAAAGCCGGGGGUACCUGAAGUACGUAACCGCAAGGAGCGUCCUAGGGUAAAACUGGUAAUUGGGGCU
rnacentral:rRNA from 1 species